GGGCCCGCACAAGCGGUGGAGCAUGUGGUUUAAUUCGAUGAUACGCGAGGAACCUUACCAGGGCUUAAAUGUAGUAUGACCGGCUUGGAAACAGGCCUUCUCUUCGGAGCAGAUUACAAGGUGCUGCAUGGUUGUCGUCAGCUCGUGCCGUGAGGUGUUAGGUUAAGUCCUGCAACGAGCGCAACCCCUAUUCUUAGUUGCCAGCGGUUCGGCCGGGGACUCUAAGAAGACUGCCAGCGCAAGCUGAGAGGAAGUGGGAUGACGUCAAUCAUCACGGCCCUUACGUCCUGGGGCUACACACGUGCUACAAUGGUAGAGACAGAGGGCAGCAAGUUCGCGAGGACAAGCAAAUCCCAUAAACGUGGCUCAG
rnacentral:rRNA from 1 species